GAAUAGCUCAGUUGGUAGAGAAUGUGACUCUUAAUCUUAGGGUUUGGGGUUCGAGCCCCAUGAUGGGCA